GGAAGUAUGGGUGAGCGGUCGUUAUCGGCCUGCUGCUUUCGGAGAAAGAAACCAGCCCUCUGCUAAGGGGCCGAGUCUCACAAAUGGCUCCGAAAGUUCGUCUUCGCUUUGCGCUUCGCUUGCGAAGAAUCUUUCUGCUUCCGCCA
rnacentral:tRNA from 1 species